GAAGCCGUUCCGGAGGUUCCCGAACGGGUCGUGCCGGUGCGGAGGCGGCGGGAACGGGAGGCAAUGAAGCGCGGCCGGAGUCCGGCCCGGGGGUAACGCGGCCGAGAGAGCGGCCAUGGCGGCCAACAUGUACCGCGUCGGCGAUUACGUCUACUUUGAGAACUCCUCCAGCAACCCCUACCUCGUCCGCCGCAUCGAGGAGCUCAACAAGACUGCCAAUGGCAACGUGGAGGCCAAGGUGGUUUGCCUGUUCCGCCGCCGGGACAUCUCCAGCAGCCUCAACAGCUUGGCAGACAGCAAUGCCCGCGAAUUUGAGGAGGAAUCCAAGCAGCCCACCAUGACGGAGCAGCAGCGGCAUCAGCUGAAGCACCGCGAGCUUUUCCUCUCCCGGCAGUUCGAAUCGCUGCCAGCCACCCAUAUAAGGGGGAAGUGCAGCGUGACGCUCCUCAAUGAGACCGAUAUCCUGGGGCAGUACUUGGAAAAGGAGGACUGCUUCUUCUACUCGUUGGUGUUCGACCCCGUCCAGAAAACGCUUUUGGCCGAUCAGGGGGAGAUCCGGGUGGGCUGCAAAUACCAAGCAGAGAUCCCAGACCGGCUGGCAGAAGGCGAAUCAGACAACCGGAACCAACAGAAAAUGGAGAUGAAAGUGUGGGACCCCGACAACCCCCUGACAGACCGACAGAUCGACCAGUUCCUGGUGGUGGCACGAGCCGUUGGGACGUUCGCCCGCGCGUUGGAUUGCAGCAGCUCCAUCCGCCAGCCCAGCCUGCACAUGAGUGCAGCUGCUGCAUCCCGGGACAUCACCUUGUUCCACGCCAUGGACACGCUGCAGAGGAACGGGUACGACCUGGCCAAGGCCAUGUCCACGUUGGUGCCGCAGGGGGGGCCGGUGCUGUGCCGGGAUGAGAUGGAGGAGUGGUCGGCUUCCGAGGCCAUGCUGUUCGAGGAGGCCUUGGAGAAGUAUGGCAAGGAUUUCAAUGACAUCCGGCAGGAUUUUCUGCCCUGGAAGUCUUUAGCCAGCAUCGUGCAGUUCUACUACAUGUGGAAGACCACCGACCGCUACAUCCAGCAGAAGAGGCUGAAGGCGGCAGAAGCGGACAGCAAGCUGAAGCAGGUGUACAUCCCCACCUACACGAAGCCAAACCCCAACCAGAUCAUCUCGGUGGGCUCCAAACCCGGCAUGAACGGCGCCGGCUUCCAGAAGGGGCUGACGUGCGAGAGCUGCCACACCACUCAGUCAGCCCAGUGGUACGCCUGGGGCCCCCCCAACAUGCAGUGCCGCCUCUGCGCCUCCUGCUGGAUCUACUGGAAGAAAUACGGGGGGCUGAAGACCCCCACCCAGCUGGAGGGAGCAGCACGCAGCGCCUCGGAGCCCCACUCUCGGGGUCACCUCUCCCGUCCCGAAGCUCAGAGCCUCUCCCCCUACACCACCAGCGCCAGCCGGGCCAAACUGCUGGCCAAGAACCGGCAGACCUUCCUGCUGCAGACCACCCGCCUCACCCGCCUGGCCCGCCGCCUGUGCCGGGACGUCCUGCAGCCCCGCCGCGCCGCCCGCCGCCCCUACGCCCCCAUCAACGCCAACGCCAUCAAAGCAGAGUGUUCCAUCCGCCUGCCUAAGGCUGCCAAGGCGCCGCUGAAGAUCCACCCGCUGGCGCGGCUGCCGCUGGCUGCCAUCGUCAAGGAGCUGGCGGCACAGGCCCCCCUGAAGCCGAAGACGCCGCGGGGUACGAAGACCCCCAUCAACCGGAACCAGCUGAGCCAGAGCCGGGGGCUGGCGGGCCUCGUGGGCAAGCGUGGCUACGAGGGGGGUGCCGAGGGUCACCGCCCCCCCGGGUACGGGUGGGAGCGUCGAGCGUCUCGUUCUCGGCCAACGGGCGCCCCCUACCGGCGGGGCUGCGCGCCGGUCCUCCCCCCGCCAGCAAGCGGCAGAAACUGAACCCCGCCGACGCCCCCAACCCCGUGGUCUUCGUGGCCACCAAGGACACCAGGGCCCUACGGAAGGCGCUGACCCACCUGGAGCUGCGCCGGGCCGCCCGCCGCCCCACGCUGUCCCUCAAGGUGAAGCCAGGGCUGCCCCUACGGCCGGGGGGGGCCCUGCCACCCCCCGCCCCCCCCCACCCCGCCAGCACCUCGGAGCCCAUCGUCCUCGAGGACUGACCCCUCCCCCCCCCACUUCCUCCCUCCGCCCCCACCGCCGGGCUGCGCCCUUUUGUAUUUUUUUUAUUUCCAUAGAAAAACCGCUUUGGGUUUUUAGGGGGGGGGGGAGGGAAGGGGGUGUGGGGACGGUCCCGGCCCGUUUGGUGCCCCUUCCCCUCCCUUCCCCCCCCCCCCGCCCUCCAACCUCCCCCUCCCUCCGCGGGUCCCUUUUCUACGCGUGGAGCGACGCCCCCCGGUUUUGUAUCUCGGGCUGUCCCGGUUCUGUAGCGACAGGAAAUAAACCGACGGCUUUUCUUC